rnacentral:rRNA from 1 species
UACGAAGGGUGCAAACGUUGCUCGGAAUUACUGGGCGUAAAGGGCGCGUAGGCGGUACUUCAAGUCAGGCGUGAAAGCCCCGGGCUCAACCUGGGAACCGCGCUUGAGACUGGAGAACUAGAGUUCGGGAGAGGAUGGUGGAAUUCCCAGUGUAGAGGUGAAAUUCGUAGAUAUUGGGAAGAACACCGAUGGCGAAGGCAGCCAUCUGGACCGACACUGACGCUGAGGCGCGAAAGCGUGGGGAGCAAACAGG